AGAGUUUGAUCCUGGCUCAGGACGAACGCUGGCGGCGCGCUUAACACAUGCAAGUCGAGCGAGAACCCAGGCUUCGGCCUGGGGGAAAGCGGCGAACGGGUGAGUAACACGUGAGUAAUCUGCCCUCGACAUCGGGAUAGCCCGGGGAAACCCGGAUUAAUACCGAAUGGCCCAUCAGCUUCUCGAAGCGGAUGGAAAAGGUAGCUUCGGCCUCCGGUCGAGGAGGAGCUCGCGGCGGAUUAGCUUGUUGGUGAGGUAACGGCUCACCAAGGCUCCGAUCCGUAGCUGGUCUGAGAGGACGAUCAGCCACACUGGGACUGAGACACGGCCCAGACUCCUACGGGAGGCAGCAGUGGGGAAUCUUGCGCAAUGGGCGAAAGCCUGACGCAGCGACGCCGCGUGAGGGAAGAAGGCCUUCGGGUUGUAAACCUCUUUCAGGAGGGACGAAGCCACUCGGGUUAAUAGCCCAGAGGGU
rnacentral:rRNA from 1 species